GACGUAGGGCGCGAGCGUUGUCCGGAUUUAUUGGGCGUAAAGAGCGUGUAGGCGGUCUGGUAGGUCCGUUGUGAAAACUCGAGGCUCAACCUCGAGACGCCGAUGGAAACCCUCAGACUAGAGUCCGGAAGAGGAGAGUGGAAUUCCUGGUGUAGCGGUGAAAUGCGCAGAUAUCAGGAAGAACACCCGUGGCUAAGGCGGCUCUCUAGUACGUGACUGACGCUGAGACGCGAAAGUGUGGGGAGCGAACAGG
rnacentral:rRNA from 1 species